AUUGAACGCUGGCGGCAGGCCUAACACAUGCAAGUCGAGCGGAGCGGCUGACGGGUGCGUAAUGCCUACGUAUCUGCCUGGUAGUGCGUGAUAGCGUCCGCCAACGGGCGCUAAUAUAGCAUACUAUCUGAUGAGCCUAGGUCGGAUUAGCUAGUUGGUGGGUUAAAGGCUUACCACGGCGACGAUCCGUAACUGGUAGGAGAGGUGGAUCAGUCACACUGGACCUUGGACACGGUCCAGACUCCUGCGUGAGGCAGCAGUGGGGAGUAUUGGACAAUGGGCAAAAGCCUGAUCCAGCCAUGCCGCGUGUGGGGAGGAGGUCUUCGGAUUGUGAAGUACUUUAAGUUGGGAGGCGUUACCAACAGAAUAAGCACCGGCUAACUACGUGCCAGCCGCCGCGGUAAUAC
rnacentral:rRNA from 1 species